GACGAACGCUGGCGGCGUGCCUAACACAUGCAAGUCGAACGGUAAGGCUCCAGCUUGCUGGGGUUCACGAGUGGCGAACGGGUGAGUAACACGUGGGUGACCUGCCCUGCACUUCGGGAUAAGCCUGGGAAACUGGGUCUAAUACCGGAUAGGACCGCACCGUGUGGGUGUGGCGGAAAGUUUUUUCGGUGUGGGAUGGGCUCGCGGCCUAUCGGCUUGUUGGUGGGGUAAUGGCCUACCAAGGCGGUGACGGGUAGCCGGCCUGAGAGGGUGGACGGGCACAUUAGGACUGAGGCACGGCCCAGCCUCCAACGGGAGGCAGCGGUGGAGAGUAUAACACAAUAGGGUGGAGCCUGUUGCGACGGCGCCGGGUGGGGAAUGACGGCCUUCUGGUUGUGAACUCCUUUCACCAUCGACGUGGAGUUUCUGACGGUAGAUGGAGAGAAAGCACCGGCUAACUACGUG
rnacentral:rRNA from 1 species